rnacentral:tRNA from 1 species
GCUCAGUUGGUUAAGCGUCUGACUCUUGAUUUUAGCUUAGGUCAUGAUCGUACAGUUUGUGGGAUCGAACCCCAUAUUGGGCU